rnacentral:rRNA from 1 species
UACGGGGGGGGCAAGCGUUGUUCGGAAUUACUGGGCGUAAAGGGUGCGUAGGCGGUUUGCUAAGUUGGAUGUGAAAACUCUGGGCUUAACCCAGAGCCUGCAUUCAAAACUGACAAGCUAGAGUUCUGGAGGGGGUAGCGGAAUUCCUGGUGUAGCGGUGAAAUGCGUAGAUAUCAGGAGGAACACCGGUGGCGAAGGCGGCUACCUGGACAGAAACUGACGCUGAGGCACGAAAGCUAGGGUAGCAAACGGG